GGUAGUUCAGUGGUAGAACACUUGCCUAGCAUGUGUAAGACCCUGGGUUCCACUCCCAGAACUACCA
rnacentral:tRNA from 1 species